rnacentral:rRNA from 1 species
UACAGAGGGUGCGAGCGUUGUCCGGAAUCACUGGGCGUAAAGGGCGCGUAGGUGGCCUGGUAAGUAGGGGGUGAAAUCUCGCGGCUCAACUGCGAGGCUGCCUCCUAAACUGUCAGGCUCGAGCAGAGUAGAGGCAGGUGGAAUUCCCGGUGUAGUGGUGAAAUGCGUAGAGAUCGGGAGGAACACCCGUGGCGAAGGCGGCGACCUGGGCCGACCCUGACGCUGAGGCGCGAAGGCGUGGGGAGCGAACGGG